UACGUAGGUGGCAAGCGUUGUCCGGAAUUAUUGGGCGUAAAGGGCUCGUAGGCGGCCAACUAAGUCAGACGUGAAAUCCCUCGGCUUAACCGGGGAACUGCGUCUGAUACUGGAUGGCUUGAGAUUGGGAGAGGGAUGCGGAAUUCCAGGUGUAGCGGUGAAAUGCGUAGAUAUCUGGAGGAACACCGGUGGCGAAGGCGGCAUCCUGGACCAACACUGACGCUGAGGAGCGAAAGCCAGGGGAGCAAACGGG
rnacentral:rRNA from 1 species